AGAUAUUAAAAGAAGCAUCUUUGGAUGAAGGAUUAAACUUUUUUUUUAUCCAGAGUGGCUGCAGGGGUUCUUACCUUUGAGCGAGAGAUGGUCGGACACUCUGAAAGCCAAAAUGCUUAUUAUUGCCCUCUUUGUGAAAUAGUAGAAGAUUCAGUCUUACAUCUAUUUCAAUAUUGUCCCUAUGCCAAAGGAAUGUGGUAUGGUGGUAGAUGGGGUUUUCGCGUUGAAAUGAUCCAAGCUAAAUCUGUAAAGGAGUUCAUUGAACAAAUACUUAACCCCCCAAAGGAAUUACUAGCAAAAAGAGUCACCAAAGAUGAAUUCACACUGUAUGCAGUAAUGGCGAUGAAAAUCCUCUUGGAUGCACGGGAAAAAGCUUUGGUUUCAUACUCUGAAGCAAGCAUAAAUUAGCUAGCCCAUCAUCUUAACACACAGUAUGACUCUAACUUGAGAUCACUUGGGACUACAAGGGAACUGAAGAGCAAAACAGGGAAAGUGCUUGGACCAAACCACCUGAUCAAUUGCUAAAGCUUAACUUUGAUGUGUCAUGUGAUCAAAAUAAUGUAGGCUUGGAUGUGGUUGUCAGAAAUCAAGAGGGGAAUCCUCUCAAAAAAAAAAGAAAAAAGAGGGGAAUGAUAGAGCAAUCAGACGUGGGAUAAGCCUCUACAAUAAGAUGGGCAAUGCCAUUGGCAAAUGAGGAGAGACUUGAACAAGUUGUGGUAAAGGGUAUAAAGCUAACAUCAUCGACUUCAUUGCAAAUCUAGCUUGCAAGCUCGGUUGGGAAUGGAAGAACAUAAUGAAGGAUAUUUUGGCUUUCGCUUCUUUUUUCAGAUAAUAAUGUAGUGCACAGCCUCAUAAAAUGGGCACUGGGGUCUAAUGACUCUAGUCUAUUGUUGCCUGUAAAUGUUCCCCCAACAGUAAAAAGGGCCUUGGCGGAAGAAAUGAGAACCUCUUCAUUCAAAUUCAAAGAAAUAUGACAAGGAAGCAGAGCAUCUUUGCUUAGACAACCGCUUGCUAGAAAUUGCACUACACUUGAAGAGCCAAACCAAUCAACCAAGACAAAGCUGCAAGUCCAAUGCAAGCACCCCAUUGCCCCCAAUUAGCCUCUUGGUACUGACAAUUGACAAACCACUUCGCUAAGCCCACCAUCACUAGCUGAAAAACUUUGGUAAACCUUAGAAUUAUUAAAAACAUCUUGUUCUUGAAUAACCCCUAAAUUUGUUCUUCUCCAGUUGUCUAGCGUCAAACUUAUUGAAGACUUGAUAGAGGAAAAAGUGUUGAAAAUGAGGGUUUCUUUCACUAUCUGACACUCACCAAAGAUAGAUCAUGCCCUACAUUGUAGCAUCAGUAAGACUUCUAUGGCUUUGGUUAUAAAUUGCUUUGAUUGAUGGCUUUACUAUGAAGACUUUGUGCGGCCAUAGCUAAAGUUGAUGCAAGGGCAGCAACUUUCAUAGUGAGCUGGAGCUGAAUGAAAUUUUGAUUGUUCUUAUAUACACACCUUCUCCACCUCAAAACUGUCACUGCAGAAGUAAACAACCAGGAUCACAGUAUUUGUGCUCUCCUUUGCCACUUCAGUGCCUUUGAUUCCCAUGUAAAGCCCAAUAAUUUUCUUCUCAUAGAAUAGAUACAUGAUUCAUACCAGCAAUUCUCUCUUCAGGUGAGUAUUUUUUCAAAAUUCCCCAUUCUACUACAGCUUCAUUAUUCAAAUCCUCAUCAAGAUUGGGAAUCCCACAUUCCAAAGCUAUCACUCUUGCUGCAUGUUCAUUGUCACCGGUGAUCAUUUUGAUGUUUACUCUAGAGAGUGCAUAAAGUCUUCUUACUCUUCCUCUUUUCGAAAUCCUCACUUCUAUUUUUCUUUGAAUUGAGGGCCUUGACUUAGAUUAUCUCAGAAUUCUGCUUGAUUUUAUCGAUAUUGGUACCUAAAUCAAAGAUAGCCCAAUAAUGUAGUACUUUUGCUGUAUGGCUCCCAAAUCCUUCAAUAGGUCAUGUAGAAAUGCUAUUUGUAAAUUGUACUAGCUGUGUUGAAACCAAAAACUUGUUGCCUUAUAACAAGAACAUUUUCUACUUUUUCUUAGGAAGUACAUUUUCUUGUUGCUUCUUUACCAAGCCAAGAUUCUGUUAGCUUCAUCUCAUUAAUUGUCAAGUGCCUGUUUUGUCAGUGAAGAUUCUUUUUUCUUUUUUUUUUUGGCUGAGUCCAUUGUGUAACAAGCAAAAGGUUCUUGAACCAAGGUGUAAUCAAGCAUCAAGCAUUUCAUAGAAUAUGCUACAUGUAAGAGUAACAGAUAGAGGUAGACCUUCUAGAGUUGCCACCACCAUAACUGUGACUACCGCGGCAAAAAGGCAUGAUCAAUCAUCAUGCACUAUAUCUCUAAUACUUUGAGUUUUAAAUAUUUGUAUGAGUAUUAAGAUUUAGAGUAUUAGAGCAACAAAUGUUCUCUCAUGUCAACCCUUAAAUUUGCAUACUAUGGUUUUGUUAUUUUAAUUUUCUGUUCACAUUUUUUUUUUUAACAUAAAGUCUGUAUUUUUAACCAACAUCAAUUUAGUGGUGGUUAUCUUCAACAUAAUAUUUUUUCUUUAAAUCAAGCUUCAGUAUGACCAGGCUGCUUGUCUUGUGCUAUUACUCUCAAGAAAGAGGCCACAUUAGAGAAUGACGCUUCCUACUGGUAGUUGUGGAAAGAAAUGAUGAAUGCUCUUAACAAGUGAGUGAAAAGGCAAAGACCAACUUGCAAUUUCAAUACCCGAUUGCCCUCACUCCAGCCUCCUAGUAUUUGCUUAGGUCAUUGAGCGCUUGUAGCAGAUGUUAAAAUCUCAGAUCCAGAGGACCCUGAUUCUGAAGAACAUGACCCGGAGAAGGAUUCUCAUAAUAGUAAAGGAGACACAGUGACUUUUAUGAUGUACAUCAUUCUCAUUGUCCUCGUUUGUUUAGUACUUGGCUUCAAAUCCUACUGUGAUAGAAAGAAGAGACUGAAGGCUGAGCUUCUUAAAGAAGGCAUCGUACGCACAUCCGGUGGAUCCCAUCCUCCUCUUGUACACUAAUUAUUAUGAAUUGUUUCUCUCGGAAACAUGUGUGGCACUCUACAAUCUAUGGUAUCAAUAUGAUGUUAGAGAGAUGAUGCAUAUAACAUUUGGGUUUUAUACAAGAGUUUCAUACAAAUAAACCUAUUACGUUCGAAGGAGACGUUUUUAUCAAGCUUGAUUAAUUGGUUUUUAUUUAUUUAUUUAUCAUAAAGUUGGUUUUUACUUUUUUUAUUCUGUUUGGGAUUAGUGGCUUAAGACAAGGCAAAGAAGAAAUUUGAAUUAGU